rnacentral:rRNA from 1 species
AUGAACGCUAGCUACAGGCUUAACACAUGCAAGUCGAGGGGCAGCAUGAACUUAGCUUGCUAAGUUUGAUGGCGACCGGCGCACGGGUGAGUAACACGUAUCCAACCUGCCGAUGACUCGGGGAUAGCCUUUCGAAAGAAAGAUUAAUACCCGAUGGCAUAGUUCUUCCGCAUGGUAGAACUAUUAAAGAAUUUCGGUCAUCGAUGGGGAUGCGUUCCAUUAGGUUGUUGGCGGGGUAACGGCCCACCAAGCCUUCGAUGGAUAGGGGUUCUGAGAGGAAGGUCCCCCACAUUGGAACUGAGACACGGUCCAAACUCCUACGGGAGGCAGCAGUGAGGAAUAUUGGUCAAUGGACGAGAGUCUGAACCAGCCAAGUAGCGUGAAGGAUGACUGCCCUAUGGGUUGUAAACUUCUUUUAUACGGGAAUAAAGUGGGGCACGUGUGCCUUUUUGUAUGUACCGUAUGAAUAAGGAUCGGCUAACUCCGUGCCAGCAGCCGCGGUAAUACGGAGGAUCCGAGCGUUAUCCGGAUUUAUUGGGUUUAAAGGGAGCGUAGGCGGACGCUUAAGUCAGUUGUGAAAGUUUGCGGCUCAACCGUAAAAUUGCAGUUGAUACUGGGUGUCUUGAGUACAGUAGAGGCAGGCGGAAUUCGUGGUGUAGCGGUGAAAUGCUUAGAUAUCACGAAGAACUCCGAUUGCGAAGGCAGCCUGCUGGACUGUAACUGACGCUGAUGCUCGAAAGUGUGGGUAUCAAACAGGAUUAGAUACCCUGGUAGUCCACACAGUAAACGAUGAAUACUCGCUGUUUGCGAUAUACAGUAAGCGGCCAAGCGAAAGCGUUAAGUAUUCCACCUGGGGAGUACGCCGGCAACGGUGAAACUCAAAGGAAUUGACGGGGGCCCGCACAAGCGGAGGAACAUGUGGUUUAAUUCGAUGAUACGCGAGGAACCUUACCCGGGCUUGAAUUGCAACUGAAUGAUGUGGAGACAUGUCAGCCGCAAGGCAGUUGUGAAGGUGCUGCAUGGUUGUCGUCAGCUCGUGCCGUGAGGUGUCGGCUUAAGUGCCAUAACGAGCGCAACCCUUAUCGAUAGUUACCAUCAGGUGAUGCUGGGGACUCUGUCGAGACUGCCGUCGUAAGAUGUGAGGAAGGUGGGGAUGACGUCAAAUCAGCACGGCCCUUACGUCCGGGGCUACACACGUGUUACAAUGGGGGGUACAGAAGGCAGCUACACGGCGACGUGAUGCUAAUCCCUAAAGCCUCUCUCAGUUCGGAUUGGAGUCUGCAACCCGACUCCAUGAAGCUGGAUUCGCUAGUAAUCGCGCAUCAGCCACGGCGCGGUGAAUACGUUCCCGGGCCUUGUACACACCGCCCGUCACACCAUGAGAGUUGGGGAUACCCGAAGCCUGUGAGCUAACUUAUAGAGGCAGCAGUCGAAGGUAGAAUCAAUGAUUGGGGUG